UCUCCUGGAAACGGGUGGUAAUGCCGGAUGCUCCAGUUGAUCGCAUGGUCUUCUGGGAAAGCUUUCGCGGUAUGGGAUGGGGUCGCGUCCUAUCAGCUUGACGGCGGGGUAACGGCCCACCGUGGCUUCGACGGGUAGCCGGCCUGAGAGGGCGACCGGCCACAUUGGGACUGAGAUACGGCCCAGACUCCUACGGGAGGCAGCAGUGGGGAAUAUUGCACAAUGGGCGCAAGCCUGAUGCAGCGACGCCGCGUGAGGGAUGGAGGCCUUCGGGUUGUAAACCUCUUUUAUCGGGGAGCAAGCGUGAGUGAGUUUACCCGUUGAAUAAGCACCGGCUAACUACGUGCCAGCAGCCGCGGUAAUACGUAGGGUGCAAGCGUUAUCCGGAAUUAUUGGGCGUAAAGGGCUCGUAGGCGGUUCGUCGCGUCCGGUGUGAAAGUCCAUCGCUUAACGGUGGAUCCGCGCCGGGUACGGGCGGGCUUGAGUGCGGUAGGGGAGACUGGAAUUCCCGGUGUAACGGUGGAAUGUGUAGAUAUCGGAAAGAACACCA
rnacentral:rRNA from 1 species